UCCGUAGGUGAACCUGCGGAAGGAUCAUUAAUGAAUGAACUUGGGCGGACUUAUCUGCUGGCCUUAGUAAUGGGUCAUGUAUGNACANUGUUCAUCCACCCUUCACACCACUGUGCACUUCUCAUGGGUUGGGUUGCGUCUGAAAUAUGGCAAAGCCCUUCUCAUGUGUGUCACCACACACUAUACAAGUUUUAGAUAUGUAACAAUCAUGCGUCAAUGCAUAUAAUACAACUUUCAGCAACGGAUCUCUUGGCUCUCGCAUCGAUGAAGAACGCAGCGAAAAGCGAUAUGUAAUGUGAAUUGCAGAUCUACAGUGAAUCAUCGAAUCUUUGAACGCACCUUGCGCUCCUUGGUAUUCCGAGGAGCAUGCCUGUUUGAGUGUCAUGGUAUUCUCAACCCUGCUACAUUUUUGUGUAGUUGGGCGUGGACUUGGAGGUUUAUGCUGGUGUUCUCUUAUGAACGCGGGCUCCUCUGAAAUGCAUUACUGGAAUGUUACCGAGCAUGAUUCAAUGUGAUAAUUGUCUAUGUUGCGUCAACUUGGUAUUAAUUCUGUUUCAGCUUCAAACUGUCCUUACGGACAAUAUCUUGAACAUCUGACCUCAAAUCAGGUAGGACUACCCGCUGAACUUAAGCAUAUCAAUAAGCGGAGGA
rnacentral:rRNA from 1 species